rfam:Pseudomonas putida S11 PPS11_c184, whole genome shotgun sequence.
AUACGUGCAGGGUGGAGAUGCACAGCCCUCGGACCGUGUAGCACCGCGUCCGGCCUACCAGCCCACUGAGCGGCUGGCGAGCGGAUAAGGUCCUGAACAGAUGCCCCCGGGCGUCCACGGCUGACGGUUGAUUCCUCCUCCUGACUGAGUGCACAAGGCCCGCUUGGUUGAUUCGGAUUCCAAUUCGAAGCCACCGGGGCCUUGUUGGCACCGCAGCAAACAGGACGCGUCGUCGCGACAACGGCAGGCUGGGCAACCGGCUGGUGCCGAACGUCGCUCGACACGGGGGUGGCCCGGCCACCCUUUGCGCACCUUGGCACCGACCCAUGAGAAGUCGUGUGUGCCGAACGCCGUUUCCGGCAGCCCGGAAACCGA